rnacentral:lncRNA from 10 species
ACAAGAACCAUGGGCAACUGCAGGCAAAAGUGUUUCCACCCUUGAGGUCUUGAAAAGAAAAGUCCCAGUCUGUUUCACCUCUUCCUCAGAAGUGCAGGGAACAGUGUGUGCUAUGCAAAUAGAUGCCACAUACAGAUGGUAACUUGUUGGGCUAAUUGGCUGGGGGCAAAGGCUCUCUGGGGCUCACCCAGGGAUGGUGUAUUUGCCAAGACUGGAAUUACAAUCCCGAUGUCAUGGGAUGUUUGGCUCAGAAAGCCUUCAUCUGCUUGUCAUGAGUUAUGGGAUUAGCAAGGUCCUCUACUCAGGGUCUUACAAGGCUGCAGUUACGUGUCAGCCAGGGCUGUGGUUUCAUGUGAGGUUUACUGGGGAAGGAUCCACUUCCAAGUUGAUGUAAGUGCUGCCAAAAUUUAGUUUCUUGUGGUCUAUUGGAUUUAGGCUGUUAGAUUUUUGCUGACUGUUGGCCAGAGGCUUCCCUUAGCUCCUAGAAGUAGCACUAAUUUCCUUGCCACAUGGGCCUCCCAAACAUGGCCCAAAGCAUCUCAAGAUGGGCAUUAUAAUCUUUUACAUCCCAUCACCUUUGCAUAUUGUAUUGGUUAAAAUCCAGUCAUAGAUCCCACACACGCUCAAAGGGAAGGGC